GUAGUUUUUCCUUCUGGUCCCCUCUAGGGCCCUGUUCCCCACCCCUUCAUACUCCAUCAUUCCUCCAAAGGCCUCUCUGCCCAAGCCUUUGAGCACCCAGCUAAUCUCUAUGGUACCUUCCUGAACUAAGGCCAAGUCUUACUCAUUUAUUUUUCUCCACAGGGAAAUAAUCGUCCUUUUGCAUAAUUGAUCCAAACUGGAAACUAGAUUGUCUUUUCUGAAUAUCUAAGCAAAUUAAAAUGCAUAAUCACAUGACCUAAGUGAUUUAGAACUUAGAAGAAAGACUACCCUUCUAACCAUGAGUUUUAAUCCUGUAAAAGUUCAUCUCAGAAGUAAAUUCAGUUUCCUACAAUCAAAGAACUCUAAAGCUAGAAGGACCUGAAUUUAUGGAGGAGAAAACUAGUGCCCAGACAGUAAGGUAGUAAGGAAAUGAAUAUCAAUCAAUCACUUUCUAGUCAGAUAGUCUACUAGGUACCUUUGCAUAUAGUAUUUCAUCCUCACCCCAGAACCUGAGUGUUCAGGUUCCAUUUUUGUCACCAUGUAGCAGAGAUGAAGAAUCUGAAAUGUUGGGAGUAAAUUUAACUCAUUCAAAAUGACACAAGUAAGCAGGCUUCAGUCGGCCUGACCCAUCAUAUUUAUUGUGAGUUAGAGAGAUGAGACACUGACCUAGGCCAGGCUGUGACAAAACAUAACAGCUGGGAGAAAAUGCAGAAGAGAGAUCAUGGAUUCCAAUACCAGCUAUGAGCACCAGACAAGACACACCUAGGCUUCCUGCACAUCACUUUACUCCUCAGCAAACUGGGAGUUUAAAAAGUAACAAAUCCCAUCUGGGCGCAGUGGCUCACGCCUGUAAUCCCAGCACUUUGGGAGGCCGAGGCAGGCAGAUCACGAGGUCAAGAGAUGGAGACCAUCCUGGCCAACAUGGUGAAACCCCGUCUCUACUAAAAUACAAAAAAUUAGCUGGGUGUGGUGGUGGGCGCCUGUAGUUCCAGCUACCUAGGAGGCUGAGGGAAGAGAAUUGCUUGAACCUGGGAGGCAGAGGUUGCAGUGAGCUGAGAUCGCACCACUGCACUCCAACCUGGUGACAGAGCAAGACUCCAUCUCCAAAAAAAAAAAGUAACAAAUCCCACAAGCUUAUCAUGGCAUGGCUUGGCUCCUGGAAGUAACGGGAUGUGCUUAUAUAGAGGAAAAUGCUGAGCGCUCCUGGACAGCCUGCUGUUCUUCCUGCAGAUGCUGACAGCAGCCUCAGGCCUCAAAAAACUCAAAUGAUGGCUUUAACUCCAGAUGUAAGGAUGGAAAAAAAAGUGCCUUAGCUCCAUCCCAAAGUAAACAUAAAAUUUGCAGGGAAACAGAAAGGAAAAGAAACAGCAAAAGUAUCCAGGAGAUAAGCCUAGGGAAAAGUCAAAGGUCGGAGAGUGGUAGAUACUGCCGGCUAAGAGUUUAGACCAAGACAGCUCAGGAGGCAAUAAAACAGGUCACCAAAGAGCAUCAGACAUGCCAAAUAGCCCAGACAACUGAAAAAGGAGCUGCCCGCCCACCUAUCACAAGAGGAGCCUGGGGCCAAAAAGUAUCAAAUAUGCCGAGCAGACCAUACACUUCUGGUGCACAGCUGGGUUUAAAGAAGAAAGAAUUUAUGGUGUGAAAGACAAUACGACAAUAUGCAAAUCCUGCUGUUGAACCUAAAUCCAAAAAGAAAAAGAAAAUGAUGAUACUUUUUUAACCUUAAGAAACUUAGCUAUACCGGCAAUAAUAAAAAUUGUCAAUAAUCCUAAUAAAAAUAUGUGGUCUACAAAGUGUUUCCAUAAA
rnacentral:lncRNA from 10 species